UGGGGAAUUUUGGACAAUGGGCGAAAGCCUGAUCCAGCAAUGCCGCGUGUGUGAAGAAGGCCUUCGGGUUGUAAAGCACUUUUGUCCGGAAAGAAAUCCUUGGCUCUAAUACAGUCGGGGGAUGACGGUACCGGAAGAAUAAGCACCGGCUAACUACGUGCCAGCAGCCGCGGUAAUACGUAGGGUGCAAGCGUUAAUCGGAAUUACUGGGCGUAAAGCGUGCGCAGGCGGUUUGCUAAGACCGAUGUGAAAUCCCCGGGCUCAACCUGGGAACUGCAUUGGUGACUGGCAGGCUAGAGUAUGGCAGAGGGGGGUAGAAUUCCACGUGUAGCAGUGAAAUGCGUAGAGAUGUGGAGGAAUACCGAUGGCGAAGGCAGCCCCCUGGGCCAAUACUGACGCUCAUGCACGAAAGCGUGGGGAGCAAACAGGAUUAGAUACCCUGGUAGUCCACGCCCUAAACGAUGUCAACUAGUUGUUGGGGAUUCAUUCCUUAGUAACGUAGCUAACGCGUGAAGUUGACCGCCUGGGGAGUACGGUCGCAAGAUUAAAACUUAAAUAAAUUGACGGGGUCAUAGCUGUUUCCU
rnacentral:rRNA from 1 species